UUCAGUUUCAGAUGUCCAGUUCGAAUCCAGUCUGGUAAUUCUGGUAUACGGACCAGAUUGUCACAUGACUUGAUAAAAAGAAGAAUCUAUUGAAAUUCAUGGUUUUCUAACUCCUGCACGAAGUGUUAUUCCCUUUCUGAAGACGUGUUCCUGAAGAGAUGUUGAGGAGGGGGCGGGGUUGAGCCGCUCCUUCCAUGGAAUUGAAGCGGAAUAAGAGAGCCCAGCGAUCUCAAUCCCCGAGUCACACUUCGUUGAUGCUUGCAUGCCAACAAGAAGCCAAAGAAGACGUUCGGAAUAUAAUUCAAAGACAGCCAGGCGCAGCUUUACAGAGGGAUCGUACCGGUAAGAAUGCCCUGCAUUAUUGUGCAGAGAAUACGGAUGUGGAUUGCGCCAGUCUUGUUCUUUCCGUCGCUCCUACACUACUUAACGCCCCGGACGAAGAAGGUUACUCUCCUUUGCACCUGGCCGUCAUUAGUGGAAACAAAUCUAUAGUGAAAUACCUUCUAACCAGAGGAGCUGACUGCAGAGCCGUCGACAGUGAAAAGCAUUCUUGUGUACAUUGGGCAACAGUAAGCGGAGACUUGGAGUGCUUAGAUUUACUCAUAAACGCCGGAGCCGAUCCUUCAACGCCGGACAUCCACGGAGCUUACCCAGUGCAUUACGCAGCCCAGAUGUGUGGUCCUAACAGUGAGAUGGGGAAUGAUGUGCGCGUGGGGCUGGCAGUCCUCACUAAAUUACUUUCGAGGGGCGUGGACGUAUCAUGCGUGGACCGUGACGGUCGUCCACCCCUGCUCUGGGCUGCAAGCGGAGAGACCAGAGCUAGUAAAACGUACUGUCCUUCAGGGAGCAGCGACGCCAUCUUGGCUCUCGUCAAAUCAGGAGCAGAUGUCAAUGCAGCAGAUCGAGAUGGCUUGACAGCUCUCCACUGUGCAGCCAGCAGAGGUCAUGUAGAUUGUCUUGAGACCUUACUCACUCUAUGUGGAGCCGAAAUUGACAGAGUAGAUGACAAUGGUUGUACAGCCCUGUUUUACGCUGUCACUCUUGGACAUGCCGACUGCACAAACCUUCUCCUGAGUUUUGGGUCCAAUCCAGACAAGCAAGAUCACAAGGGAAGAACACCGGCUCAUUGUGGAGCAUCCAAAGGCCAAUUAGAAACUCUGAAGAUUUUAACUCAUCACAAGGCUAAUUUGUGGCUGAGGAAUUCCAAGGGAGAUAUGCCUUUACAUGAAGCAGUGCAGUCCGGUAGAAAAGAUUUGGUUGAAUGGUUGCUCCAGCAACACAAAGGCUCUGUCAAUGUGUCCAAUGCUAAUGGAAGAACGCCUUUACAUAUAGCAGCCAUCACAAAUAAUGUUGAUAUGUGCAAGGUGCUAAUGGAUUAUGGAGCUUUUAUCAAUCCAAUUAUGAGAAAUUCAAAGGGGCAACAAAUGACACCCCUUGAUGCUGCACUACAUCGAGGCAACAGAGGUUGUGCGAAGUACCUUAAUUUACAUGGAGCUUUGCCUGCUAGCAAGCUGCUGGAGAAAAGAGAAUACAACAGAUUUACAGAAACUCAUCUUUCUGAAACUCUGGAACUUAGCCCAAACACGAGACAAAGGUUGCUACGAGAUACUUCUGCACAAACGGAACCUCAGUUGCGAGACGUAGAUAUUCAGGCUGUAGUAGAGCAAAGAAACGUGGGAGCAGUAGCAGACUUGACUCGUGGCCAGACGCCCAUAAAUUCCAAGUCAUCUUGUGCAUCAACAAGUAUUCGCUGUGCAGGAGAGGAUGGAUCAGGGAAACCUAUCAUUGCCAAAGUUUAUGUUCACACCAAGCGUUCAAAGAUUAGAAGGUUGACUAGAAAACCUACUGCAUACAGGCGAGAUUAUCAAGGAGAGAAGUUGUGCACCCGUCAGCAACAAAGACUAAACUCUAAUGCCCAAAACAUGGAAAAUGGGUCUUCCAAUGAUAAAAAUGAUACAGAAACUCCACGCGAAACAGAUCUUGAAAAAGAUGUUUCGAGUCGUAAAGCCUCUCAACCAACGCUGUACGAAAAGCUUGAGGAAACAGCUAAAGAAGAAGUUCCACAAUUGAGUUCCGAAGAAAAAGAAUUCAGACCAGAAACAUCGGAACAAAAUGGUUACACUAAAAUGCAUCAAUGCAGCUGCUAUUCAAAACAUGAAGUAGGAACAGAGACUUGUGAUUGUGAUUGCCAUGUUGCAGAAGAGAGAUUAAAGCAGCUCUCUGUAGAGCAAAACAGAAGAUCUUUGCGAGCUAAAGACUAUGAUACGGAGAAUCAUUCACCUAUGUCUAGCAUUCGAAGUUUUGAAUCAACAAUCAAAGAUUCUGGUUUCAGUGAUGAUGUGGAUCGUGGACAUCGCGAAGAAAUGUCUUCCUCUGAUGACGAUAGAGGAGGACAUUCGGACUCAGAAACCAGAACUGGGAAAAGAAAAAGACGACAUAUUGCUCGAUAUGUGGUUAGUAGCGGAGCAGCAGAAACGUUUCGUUUGGAAGAUGAAGAAGAUGAAGCCCAUAAAACAAUCAUCAAACCUCGUUCUUCGAGUUUACCUCAUCUUCGUAAGAAAGAUAACAAAUUUGAAACUUGCCCAAGAUUGCUAAACAGGCCUACCAUUACAAAAGAAGUUCAAAAGAGUUUAAAAAAGUAUCAAAUGGAGCGUCGUUUGUUCUACGAGCUGCAAGAACUGAAGAGGAAACAGAUUACGACAACGCCACACGAGGAAAAAGAAAUGGUCACAAAAAUGGUGGAAAGAUUUCGAAAUUAUGUUCUCUCUCCUCCGUUGUCCGAUUAUCAAGGCCCUCUCACGUUCAGGUCCUUCGAAAAAUAUCUUUACGAACAAUUAAGGAAGUUGUCUAUGGGAGGAAAAAUCCCCAAACCAAAGACAAACACCAAAGAUAUUUCAGAAAGAACAUAUGUAGGACCAAUAACAAAAAAUGAUACGAAUGUUAAUCAUGUACUUUGCAUGUGUGAUACGCACAAAUGUCAUCAUACCGCACAACAGCAUUCAGAUCUGAUGUCAGACAGACAAUACUACACUCGUAUCCCAUCAUUGCCUGAAAUUGCCCGUAGGACUGAUGAGAGGAAAGGACCACAAUCAAGAAUACUAGUGAAUCGCUCUAAAAGCUGGGAUAGAUUAGAAGAUGGUUCCACAAAUAAUUCCACAUUUUCUCCAUGCCCCGGUAAACUUGGAAAUAUUCAUACUUCAAACAGUCUACCUGCCUUAUCCAAUCCUUUUCCUAGGAGGGUUCCUGCUGCUCUUCUGGCGGCUAUCAGCGAAAGACUUGGCCCAGAUGUCCAUCCGGAUGAUACCAUUGUAGUAGAGAUGUCAGCAGAUAACGUCACAUCGAAAAUGAGACACGCUUUCACUGUUCAAGAAAUGAAAGAAGUGGUCUCGAGGUAUGAAGAACAGGCUGGACGCAAAGUGAAACCUGUACCUCUAGAAACUGUUCUGGACCCAGAUGACGAUGGCCCAAUUACAUUCGAGAUCAGACAUGGAAAAGAAAGAAAUAUCUUUAGAUUACCUGCUGGCAAGUUAAAGGACAACAAAAAAUGGCAAGUUACAUUUACCAUUGGUAAAUGGCAGAAGGAUACGAGAUCGCUUCAUGCCAAGUAGCUGUAGUUUUUAAGCUUUUUGAAGUUUUUAUUCUGCUCUUUGCGACCGAAGACAAUUUUUUGAGCGUUUUCAGGUUCCUGCAUUACUGCCUGUGGCCAGUUGGACGCUACAUCCUGCCACUGAACCAGAUGGAUCACACACUCGCGGAUGAUAUCCGAUGGGAAGAAAUACGACUGAGUCCUAGAGCUGUGCUCAUGCUGCCACCAAAUU
rnacentral:misc_RNA from 1 species